rnacentral:rRNA from 1 species
AGCGGCGGACGGGUGAGUAACACGUGGGUAACCUGCCCAAGAGACUGGGAUAACACCUGGAAACAGAUGCUAAUACCGGAUAACAACACUAGACGCAUGUCUAGAGUUUGAAAGAUGGUUCUGCUAUCACUCUUGGAUGGGCCUGCGGUGCAUUAGCUAGUUGGUAAGGUAACGGCUUACCAAGGCAAUGAUGCAUAGCCGAGUUGAGAGACUGAUCGGCCACAUUGGGACUGAGACACGGCAAACUCCUACGGGAGGCAGCAGUAGGGAAUCUUCCACAAUGGACGAAAGUCUGAUGGAGCAACGCCGCGUGAGUGAAGAAGGGUUUCGGCUCGUAAAGCUCUGUUGGUAGUGAAGAAAGAUAGAGGUAGUAACUGGCCUUUAUUUGACGGUAAUUACUUAGAAAGUCACGGCUAACUACGUGCCAGCAGCCGCGGUAAUACGUAGGUGGCAAGCGUUGUCCGGAUUUAUUGGGCGUAAAGCGAGUGCAGGCGGUUCAAUAAGUCUGAUGUGAAAGCCUUCGGCUCAACCGGAGAAUUGCAUCAGAAACUGUUGAACUUGAGUGCAGAAGAGGAGAGUGGAACUCCAUGUGUAGCGGUGGAAUGCGUAGAUAUAUGGAAGAACACCAGUGGCGAAGGCGGCUCUCUGGUCUGCAACUGACGCUGAGGCUCGAAAGCAUGGGUAGCGAACAGGAUUAGAUACCCUGGUAGUCCAUGCCGUAAACGAUGAGUGCUAAGUGU